GAGUUUGAUCCUGGCUCAGGAUAAACGCUGGCGGCGCACAUAAGACAUGCAAGUCGAACGAACUUAAUUCAUUCUUUUAGAUUGGAAGCGGUUAGUGGCGGACUGGUGAGUAACGCGUGAGCAACCUGCCUAUUAGAGGGGAAUAACAGUGAGAAAUCAUUGCUAAUACCGCAUAUGCUUACACUAUUGCAUGAUAGAGUAAGGAAAGGAGCAAUCCGCUAAUAGAUGGGCUCGCGUCUGAUUAGCUAGUUGGUGGGGUAGAAGCCUACCAAGGCGACGAUCAGUAGCCGGACUGAGAGGUUGAACGGCCACAUUGGGACUGAGAUACGGCCCAGACUCCUACGGGAGGCAGCAGUCGGGAAUAUUGCGCAAUGGAGGAAACUCUGACGCAGUGACGCCGCGUAUAGGAAGAAGGUUUUCGGAUUGUAAACUAUUGUCGUUAGGGAAGAAAAAAGACAGUACCUAAGGAGGAAGCCCCGGCUAACUAUGUGCCAGCAGCCGCGGUAAUACAUAGGGGGCAAGCGUUAUCCGGAAUUAUUGGGUGUAAAGGG
rnacentral:rRNA from 1 species